UUUUUAAAAGAAUUAUUUUUAGUUUUUGUUUGGAAGAAGAUGCGGAUAUUUUUUUGUUAAUUGGGGUGAUUUUUAAAUUUUGGUUAACUUUAAAAGUGUGUUAUUGGAUCCAGUAAUAGUGAUAGAUUGAAUAAAAUACUCUAGGGAUAACAGCGUUAUUACUUUGGAUAGUUCAUAUAGAUAAAGUAGAUUGCGACCUCGAUGUUGGAUUAGGAUACCUUUAUUGAUGAAGAAGUCGUGAAAGGGGGUUUGCUCAACUUUUAAAUUCCUACA
rnacentral:rRNA from 1 species